rnacentral:rRNA from 1 species
AGUUCGGAUUGCAGGCUGCAACUCGCCUGCAUGAAGCUGGAAUUGCUAGUAAUCGCGGAUCAGCAAGCCGCGGUGAAUACGUUCCCGGGCCUUGUACACACCGCCCGUCACACCAUGAGAGUCGGGAACACCCGAAGUCCGUAGUCUAACCGCAAGGGGGGCGCGGCCGAAGGUGGGUCCGGUAAUUGGGGUGAAGUCGUAACAAGGUAAC